rnacentral:rRNA from 1 species
UAGGGAAUCUUCCACAAUGGACGAAAGUCUGAUGGAGCAACGCCGCGUGAGUGAAGAAGGGUUUCGGCUCGUAAAGCUCUGUUGGUAGUGAAGAAAGAUAGAGGUAGUAACUGGCCUUUAUUUGACGGUAAUUACUUAGAAAGUCACGGCUAACUACGUGCCAGC